CUAUUCUAUAAGGUAUGUAACUACAUUGAUUAUCAUAAGGAAUAUUCAAAGAACUGUAUAUUUAGAGUAGCAAAAACAAAUUGUGGGCUUUUUAAAUUCCACUGUAUGCUAAUCACUAUUAAUUUCUGUAUCAAAUUCUUUUAAUCCCUAGAUAUUAAAUCUGUGAGCUGUUUCCAGUGGGGAAAUCAAAUUGUUUCCUUUUGUAAAAGUUGUUUUCUCUAUCAACAAUUCUGUGAACACAUUGUCAGGUUAAUCAUAUGGAUAAGCAAAUAGAGAGAGCUAAGUCCUAUAGACAUAUCAUCUAAUAGGCUGGUUGAGGAAUACAAAUAAAAUAGAGCAUUAGGAUUCUAUUAUUUGUAUGCUUUCCUUUCCAUAAUUAUGGCCACAAAUAGUAAAAUCAGUAAUUUACAUUAUAGACUUACCCUGUGCUAGAUUCAGUUUAAUUGUUUUACAUACAUUAAUUUAACCCAUAAAGCAACUCAUCAGGUUAUCCAUAUGGGUAUAAUUCAUAACUAGCAUGAACAAAUAUAUAGAAUGCAAAAUUAAGUAAAUUGCCCAAACACCAGGCUAUGGAGUUGCAGAGAUAGAAUUUAAAUCUCUUUUUAUGUGAUGGGCUCCCUAUAAGAUUUGUUUAGCCAGGAAUUUAGAGAUCUAGGAAUUUAGAGAUCUGGACAUAGAGAAAUUAUUUUUUUCCUCAUUUAUAUUAGGACUAACUUGUUAAAUACAAUGUGCAACUGUAUCUUCGCUCUUAAUUGGUAUCCACCACUGACUUGCUCAUUAGAUUCCAGCUUUCUUUUGAUUGCUCACACAUAUCAAGUGCAGGUUUAUUUUAGACCUGUUUCCCUUGUGGUGCAUUCUUCAUGGAGAGCUGUAAACCUGAAUGAAUAUUUGCAGGGUGCCUUUCUCUGGCAAAUCUUCUCACUAAUCUCUGUUUAAAUUCACGAGUUCAGAAAAGCUUUCUCUGACCUCCUUUUCUAAAAUAUCAUCUAGCUACCCAUCCAUUCUCUCACAUUAUUCUCUACAUAUUUAUCUUUUCCAGGGAUAACACAACCUCCAUUUAUUCUAUUUAAUCAUGCAGAGUCCAAUAAGGUCCACGGUAGUAAGAGUUAUUGAUUUUAUUCACAGCGAUAUACCCUGAACUUGGAAACAUAUUUGUCACAAUAAAUAUUUUUAUGUAUAGUCAGAUAUCCCACAAAAAAGCUAACAAUAUUACAGAAGAAAAAUGUGAAGCCUUCUAGUCAAGUAGUCAUUUAUCCAACCUAAAGGAAUACAGCUAGAACCCUCAGUCAGAAAGGUUGGCUUAACUCAAUGAGUCCCAGUAUUCUCACAGUGAGGAAAAAGAGAGACUAGAUCAUGAACUCCUUCGCCUUGUUCCUGAGAUCUAGCCCCUGAACUGGAAAUCAAAAUUGGAUGUAUGGUUUUCAGGGUUGUUGCUCUUACCUAACACCUUGCCUUAAAAAUCUAACUAGUAUACCAACGAAUCUAGGAUAGUUAUAUUAACUUGUUUCCAUUCCUCUCACCCAUUUCUACAUUGCCAGCAUAUUAAGGUAUUGAUGACCACUACUGAUCAUCAAAAUGAAGUUUUGAGCAUUGAAAUUUUGUUAUUAAUUUUGAUGAUGACUCUUACUCAAGACUGCCUGAAUUUCACAUACUUCUUGCUUUUCUCCUCCUACCUAAUAUUUAGAAAUUGCUACACUCCAGGACUCCAUAGCUGAUUCUCUGCCCUUCCUCACAUUAUUAUAUAAAGAUAGUCUCUUCUGAUUCUUUCCUUAUCUUUAUGUUUUCCAGACCCCUUAGCUUCACUUCAGACCUAUUUAUAUGAUGCUCACAUAAAGAAAUAGAAUUUCAAACAUUAUUCUGUUUUCCAGGCCCUUUACCAACUCUCACUGCAAUGACUCCAGACCCCUCAAGCUUGAUUUAAAAAAUGUAAAUAUUAUCAUCAUGUUCUGUAAACUCUGUUUCCAAAAAUUUCUCAUAUUCAAACACUUUCCACUAUUUCCGUUGAUGAAAUUGUCAUUCAAGCAAUUAUACUUGUUCUCUUGGAGUAAUGCAACUGCCUUCCCAACAUCUGCUCAAUGGAGACCUACAGAAUGAGGUCUUCCCUGACAUCCACAGUGAAAUGUAGACUCCUAUAUCAUGAAUAUUUUCAAUUUUAUUUACUUGCUUUAUUUACUUCAAAGGAAAAAUUCUAUCCAGGGAUCAUGUCAUUUAUUUAUUAGCACACUUGUUCAUUGUCUAUGCAAAGAAAUAUGAGGUUCUUGAGAUAAGUUCCCAAACCAAGAGCAGCUACUGAUGGAUAAUUGCUCUAUUAUUCUUGAAUAAAUGUAUGAAGAGAUGUUAUAUUCAAAAUUGUAACUCUACAAGAUAAGUUACAAUGCUCACAUCGAGAUUCUUUAUGUAAGCAGAAUCAUACCAGUGAAAUUUGUACCUAACCAUCAAUCAUUCCCACUGGUGUCUUUAAGUCUCUCUGAACUUGGAGGAGUAAUUUAGAUUCAUAUUGAGACACUGACAAAAUUCAACCUGUCCCCAACUUCACCACACAUAUAUUGGUAAUAGUGUAUCCAUUCAUUCAUUUAAAAUGUUUUGAAAACUAUGCUUUAAAAAACUGGGAUUUUAAAAGAAGAAAACAACAUAGAACAUCCACCCUUUAGUUUUCCCAUCUUUGAAUGUGAUGGUUCCUAAUUUCAGCAGAUUAAAUAUUAAGAUAAAUAAAUAAAAACAUAUGUACAUAAAACACACAUAUACAUACAUAACAGAAAAAGAAAACUCAUUUAAUGAGAACAAUGUUGCCAUUCAUAUCCCUCAAACAUCAUUUAAUUUUCCAAAAUUGUGACAUUCCAUAAAAAUUCUUGUAAAAAUUUACAUACAUAAAGAUUCAAGAACAUCCUAGGAAGAUUAAAAAAUAUUGGCAGAAAAUAUACUGAAAUUCUGUUUAUACCUCUUCCCCAGGUAAUAUGACAAGGGCUCAGAUAUAGAAGCAACAUACUAUUCCACAAACUUUCAUCCCUACUUUUAGUGGGCCACCCCUGACACAAGUAAGACUGAUAGAUUGUCUGCGGAAAAGGGAUUUAUAAUAUAAAGCUUGGAAAAUUGUAUUCUUUCGUUCAGUGCUUCUGGGAGCUUUCUUGUGAAUUUUUAGAAAUCCCUUCUACGUAGUUCAAAUAGAAAUGACUGCCAAAUUGUAGUAUUUUUCAAUAUCUGAUCUCCCCAUCAACAAAAUGAUUAUGGCUAAUCUUUCAAUUCUGAAUUAUGUGCAGAGAGAGAGAGAGAGAAAGAAUCCUAAGGUCAUUAUGUAGAUGAAACAACCUUCUUUUCUAGCCCCAUACAGCUAUAUUCUGACAACCCAACCCAUAUAUAGGGGGAAAAUAGGGCCUGAGAAGAUUUCAUUUCAUAUGUUGCUAAGUUACUAACCUGUUAAAGAAAACUAGAUGUAUAAGAAAGAUUUUGAAAUGGCUUUUAUGUUGUAUCAUAGGCAGUAUGCAUCUAUGAAUUAUAUAAUAGGUAUUUAAAUUUACCUUAGAAUAUCAGACACUUGUGGAUCAGAAAUGAAGACAAAUGACAGAAGACACUAAGUUUUAGAAUUGUAUUAAGUUUUAGAAUUGCACUAAACUUAAUAGCCUAAAUUCACAGGCAUUAUUGUGAAAAUCUCAUUCCUUUUGUUGGCCUUUUAUUGUUGUUUUACCCAAGAUUAGGAUGAGAUACAGCCUAAAUUUCAGGUAUUGAGGUGAUAUCAUAGAAAGAUAAGAAGCUUUGCUAUUUCAUGAAGAAAAUGGAUUGUCCUUCCACGACUUCUGAUUUUAUCCAACUCACAUAUUCUAAGAAAGGUUAAAAUUAAGGCCCUAUUAUCUUUACUUUGAUUUUGCUUUGUUUUUUUACCCCUUCAGACUUACAUUUUAAUUUUAUUUUUGAGUUAUGAGUUUUUAAUAAAAGCCUUACACACAAUUCAGAAAAUUCUGCUCAUUUAUUCUUUCAACAAAUGUGCAUCAUGCUCUAUGAAUUGUGAUAUCCUCUGGCAGGUCAUACACUCUGAUAGGUGCUACAGUAGAACAGCAGAGAAAACACAACCUCAGUUUAUGUUUUAGUGGAGAUAGUUAACACAAGAUAAACAAGUAGGUAUAUAAUUUGCUCGUGAUAAAUAUUAACAAGAAAUGUAAUAUUACACAGGUGAAGAAAAAUUAGGAAUAACACAACUGAAAAAUGUGAUGCUCUGGAGUAUAGCUGAGGAAAUUCUCAAUAAAGAUGGCUUUGAGUAUAGGUAAUGGGGGACAAAUCAUGUUGGUCUUUAUGAGUCACUGUAAAGUCUUUGCCUUCUAUUUGGGCAUGAUAGGAUGUUACUGGGGUGGUUUUGAACAGAAUGAUGAUAUAGAGUGGUACAUAUUUAAAGUAAAUAUUUCAGACUCUUAUGUUGAGAAUGUAUUUAAAGGUAAGGCUGGAGGCAGAAGACAAAUUUAGGAGGCUGACGUAAUAUACCAGGCAAGAGAUUAUAGUGACAUAAAUUGGAAUGGUAGCAGGGGAGGCAGUGAAAAAUAGUCAAACUCUGGAUAUAUUUUAAAGGUCAGGAAGACAAGAUUGACUGACAGGAAGGGUAGCAUAAGAGGAUGGGAGGGAAGUGGGAAAUGAACAAGUGGAAUUGAUGAAUCAAAGAUGACUCCUUGAUUUGUUUGCCUCACCGAUGGGGAAAUGGGGUUUCCAGUUCUGAGAUAAGGAAGAGCUGGGAAAGCAUUUAACAGAACCUUAAUUUGAAAUAUAUUCUAUAUGAAAUAUCUAUCAAAUUCUAAAUUCAGAUGCUAAGUAGAUAUAUGCAAUCGUCUGAAGGUCUGAGGAGGGAUCCAGUCAGAAAAUAAACUUGGGCAUUGACCAAUAAACACAUAAUUGUGAGAUCUUCAACAGAGUGAUGAUAAGGUGAGGAGAGACCCAUGAACAAACUUCACGUACUUGAAACUUCUAAGGCUGAGAAGAAAAAAAAGAAGGUGACAAAGAAGAAUGAGAUGGAGCUGGGAACCAACCUGGAGAAAAAUCAGAAGGCAAGUGAGGAAGUAUCAGUAGUCAUCAAACUCUAUCAAGUAAGGUGAUGACUGAGUCAAGGCUUUAAAAUAAUCUAAGAUGAGGCUUAGCGAUAGUGAGAUCACUGGGUUUGUUUUCUUUCCUUCUCUGGAGAUUACUGGAGAUUUAAUCAAUGGGCACUUAACCACUGAGAAACACCCUAGACCUUUUUUUUAUUCAUUUUUUAAAUUUUUGAGACGAGGACUGGCUAAGUUGCUGAAGCUGGCUUUGAACUUGAGAUCUUCCUGCCUCAGCCUCCUAAGCUUCUGGGAUUACAGGUGUGGGCACCAUGCCCAGCUAAGAUCACUAGUUAUUUAUUAAUUUUUUUGACAGUAGCUAAUGUGUUAGAGUGGUAAGGCAAACCCUACCUAUAUGUUCAGGAACGAAUGGAAAUACGUAACCUAGAAAUGGUGAUAUACCACUCUUUGAAGGAUUUUGGUUAAAAAUAACAGUAGAGAGAGGGAGAGAUUUCGAAUAAGGGAAUUAAAAUUUUUUAUUAGUUUAUUACAGAUAUACACAAUAUUAGAGUUCAUUUUGGCAUAAUUAUAUAAGCAUUGAAUAUGAUUUUCUGCAAUUUGGUCCUCUUUUCUUCUUUCUCUCCUCCCUCUUCCAUUCUUUCUUCUACUUGGCUGAUAUUUCUUUUAUUUAUUUAUAAUUUUAAAAAAUUAGUGCAUUAUGGAUGUACAUAAAGGUGAGAUUCAUUGUGGCAUAUUCAUGUAUGUAUUUAGGAAAGUCUGAUCAGAUUCAUUUCACCGUUCUUCCUUUUUCCUGCCUCUCUUCCCUCUACCUCAAGCAGAGAUUUUUCUCUGUGUAAGAUACGGAAAAUAUUAUGAUUGAAAUAUGUUAUUACAUUUUUUUAUAUUAGGAAGAAUAUUUUGGAGCAUAAUUUUUGAUUAUGGAAGAGUAAUAGUGAAGAGAAUUUGCAGAGAACACCCAGAGAAGAAAUGGUAUUUUGUAUUAAAGGCAGCUUUAAUGAGAAACAUAGAAAUACUGUUCCUACAGAGCUACAAUUUGACCCAGUUGUCCCAUUCUUCAGCAUAUAGAUCCAAAAGAAUUAAAAUCAGUAUACAACAGUAACACAGCUAUUCACAAUAGCUGAGUGACAGAACCAACCUAGAUGCCCAUCAAUAGAUGAAUGGAUAAAAAAAAUUGUGGUAUGUAUACAUAAUGGAAUAUUACUCAGUCACAAAGAAUAAUGGCUUUCUGACAUUUGCCAGUAAAAAG
rnacentral:lncRNA from 1 species